UACGUAGGGUGCGAGCGUUGUCCGGAAUUACUGGGCGUAAAGCGCACGUAGGCGGAUUUGUUAGUCAGGGGUGAAAUCCCGGGGCUCAACCUCGGAACUGCCUUUGAUACUGCAAGUCUCGAGUCCGAUAGAGGUGGGUGGAAUUCCUAGUGUAGAGGUGAAAUUCGUAGAUAUUAGGAAGAACACCGGUGGCGAAGGCGGCCCACUGGAUCGGUACUGACGCUGAGGUGCGAAAGCGUGGGGAGCAAACAGG
rnacentral:rRNA from 1 species